UGGAUAGCUCAGUUGGUUAGAGUGUGGUCCUAACAAGGCUAAGGUUGCUGUUUCAAAUUAAUCGCCAUAAGAG